rnacentral:rRNA from 1 species
CCUACGGGUGGCAGCAGUAGGGAAUAUUGCUCAAUGGGGGAAACCCUGAAGCAGCAACGCCGCGUGGAGGAUGAAGGUUUUCGGAUUGUAAACUGCUGUUGUUAGAGAAGAUAAUGACGGUAUCUAACGAAUAAGCACCGGCUAACUCCGUGCCAGCAGCCGUGGUAAUACGGAGGGUGAAAGCGUUACGCGGAAUCACUGGGCGGAAAGGGCGCGGAGGCGGGAUAGCAAGUCAGAUGUGAAAUCCUAUGGCUUAACCAUAGAAUUGCAUUUGAAACUGUUAUUCUAGAGUAUGGGAGAGGUAGGUGGAAUUCUAGGUGAAGGGGUGAAAUCCGUAGAGAUCAAGAGGAAUACUCAUUGCGAAGGCGACCUGCUAGAACAUAACUGACGCUGAUGCGCGAAAGCGUGGGGAGCAAACAGGAUUAGAUACCCGAGUAGUC